rnacentral:rRNA from 1 species
UACGAGGGGGGCGAGCGUUGUUCGGAAUUAUUGGGCGUAAAGCGCGCGCAGGCGGUCUUUUAAGUCUGAUGUGAAAGCCCACGGCUCAACCGUGGAGGGUCAUUGGAAACUGGGAGACUUGAGUGCAGAAGAGAAGAGCGGAAUUCCACGUGUAGCGGUGAAAUGCGUAGAGAUGUGGAGGAACACCAGUGGCGAAGGCGGCUCUUUGGUCUGUAACUGACGCUGAGGCGCGAAAGCGUGGGGAGCGAACAGG